GACGAACGCUGGCGGCGUGCUUAACACAUGCAAGUCGAACGGAAAGGCCCUGCUUUUGUGGGGUGCUCGAGUGGCGAACGGGUGAGUAACACGUGAGUAACCUGCCCUUGACUUUGGGAUAACUUCAGGAAACUGGGGCUAAUACCGCAUAGGAGCUCCUGCUGCAUGGUGGGCGUUGGAAAGUUUCGGCGGUUGGGGAUGGACUCGCGGCUUAUCAGCCUGUUGGUGGGGUAGUGGCUUACCAAGGAUUUGACGGGUAGCCUGCCUGAGAGGGUGAACGGCCACAUUGGGACUGAGAGACGGCGCAGACUGCUACGGGAGGCAGCAGUGGGGAGUAUUGCGCAGUGGGGGGAAGCGUGUGACGACGACGCCGCGAGCGUGAUGACGGCCUUCGGGUUGUGAACCGCUUUGGCAUGUGACGAAGCGUGAGUGACGGUAAUGGGUAAGGAAGCACCGGCUAACUACGUG
rnacentral:rRNA from 1 species